CUGGAGGGACGCAGUGCUUGGGGAGGUUGCGUGUUGCUGCGAGUGUUGUGAUGGUGCAUUACUGACAAGUGUGUGAUGGGUAGAAAGUUCUCAAAAACGAUAACUUUUGCGACGUUACCCAUAUUAAUGUGUGUAUUUUUCGUUCUGGAGAGUUCUAACAACACGAGAGAAGAUUCGCAUGAAUGAAGGACUCAGACAUGAAAGCAAGGGCAAGACUUCGACGAAUACCGUGUUAAAAUUAAUAGAGUAGUGAGUAGCAAUAUUUUGUGUCACGUAUUGGUGAAAUUAAUGUUCGUGGUUUAACGACAGAUGGAGUGAAGUGAUAUAUAUGUAAAUGAAUUGAAAAAGGAAGACAGGAAAAGGAAUGAGACAACGUGCAAAGAGGCUGCUGCAACACAUGUUUCGUGCCGUUUACGUGGAAUCGUACGUCUUUGUACUUAAGGAGACGGCGUUGAGGACUCAGCGUAUUAUUCAGAUGUGGCUGUGAUAUUGAAAAUCUUUUCUCUCUUUCUCCGCCAGUUGACAACAACAAGAACAGAAAAAUUCGUUCAAGAAUUUAAUUCUGAAGUUAUUCGAGCGAUUAAAGGAUUUCAUCGACGUACGAAGACAACCGACAAAAGACCAUUCUCGGGACGGAUAUUUCUGACCCGUGUUAGAUAGCAACUUCAUGGCUGUAGUUGGUCCUAGCAGACACUCCAGAGUGUCCAUGUCCGUGUCGAUGCCGCUCAUGCCUGGCGGGGGAGGAGGGGGAGGACACCAACAAGCCAUAUUAGCAGCUGCCCAGCCUUAUUACCACCCACAACAUUCUCACCAAACGCCAGCAACGCCUGCACAUUCUCACACACAGGAUGUGCAACCGGAUAGACCAAUCGGUUAUGGAGCUUUCGGAGUCGUUUGGGCGGUGACGGACCCGAGGGACGGGCGGCGCGUCGCGCUCAAGAAGCUGCCCAACGUCUUCCAGUCGCUCGUCUCGUCCAAGCGCGUCUUCCGCGAGCUCAAGAUGCUCUGCUUCUUCAAGCACGAGAACGUGCUGUCCGCGUUGGACAUCCUCCAGCCGCCGCACCUGGACUUCUUCCAGGAAAUCUAUGUCAUCACGGAGCUCCUGCAGAGUGAUCUACACAAAAUAAUAGUAUCUCCCCAGCACCUGUCCGCCGACCACAUCAAAGUCUUCCUCUACCAGAUCCUCAGAGGUCUGAAAUACCUGCAUUCUGCACGCAUCUUGCACCGUGAUAUAAAACCGGGGAACCUACUUGUCAACAGCAAUUGUGUCCUCAAGAUCUGCGACUUCGGGUUGGCACGCGUAGAGGAGCCAGACCAGUCAAAGCACAUGACUCAGGAGGUGGUGACACAGUACUACCGGGCGCCUGAAAUACUGAUGGGCGCGCGACACUACUCCGCUGCCGUAGACGUCUGGAGCGUCGGCUGCAUCUUCGGGGAGCUUCUUGGGCGACGCAUCCUCUUUCAAGCGCAGAGCCCAGUCCAACAGCUGGAGUUAAUAACGGAACUACUUGGCACACCGUCACUGGAAGACAUGCGGUACGCUUGUGACGGGGCACGAACCCACAUGCUGCGACGUGCACCAAAGCCACCCUCCAUGGCUGCCCUAUACACCCUCUCCUCACAGGCCACGCAUGAGGCAGUGCACCUGCUGUGCCAGAUGCUGGUUUUUGACCCUGACAAACGAAUAACAGUUGGUGAUGCUCUGGCUCACCCGUACUUGGACGAGGGCCGCUUAAGAUACCACUCCUGCAUGUGCAAGUGUUGCUACACGACUCCGGGAGGCCUCAGGCAGUACACACCGGACUUCGAGCCUGUUGCACCCCACAGCUUUGAUGAUCUGUGGGAGAAGAAGCUGACUUCUGUUCAGCAGGUCAAAGAGGAAAUGCACAAGUUUAUUGCAGAACAACUGAAUACCAGUAGAGUCCCGUUGUGCAUUAAUCCUCAAUCUGCAGCUUUCAAGAGUUUUGCCAGGUAAGGCUGCAACCACAGCCACAAGAGGCAAACAUCUGGAGGGCCUUCUCUUCUCCUACUUCAUCCCUUCCCCGAUAAUGAUCGAUAAAGCUCUAUGUCGUACUCCGGACAUGCUGAGAGGCUCUACAGUUGCCCACCCGUCUGAACUACCUCCCUCGCCCCAUCAAUGGGAGUGACGCUAUCCUCAUCCUAGCAUCCAAUUGUGAAAAUGUCUAGAAUAUUCUCGUUCUCGCCCGGUUGUUGGGUUGCUUCUCUUCCACAUGUGGCAGCCGAGUGGGGUAUGGUUUGCACCUAAUGCAAAUUAAUAACUUAACAUACCUGAAUUUUGAUUCCAGACUAAUCUUCACAAACUAACGUUUCUAAACGUGGUGGUGAAGUGUGUAGGAGUGUGGCUGUUGGGAGAGUAAGGACACAUCAUGAUGGCAACCGUCAAAAAUAAAAGAUUUCGUAUUGUUGGUAAAUACUAAUAAACAAAUUGGGAAGUGUAAAUAGUGAACUGUGCCUCUGUAUAUACCGAGAUGUGAUUGUAUUAAUGAUGCCAUUACAUGCAAUCAGUGCAGUGUUAAUGAACAAGUGAAAAUGUGUGUGACAGUCAUUUGAUAUUUGCUUGAAAAUGUGGUAUUAACUCUGACAGGCCUGUUCAGAGAGUAACCGUGUCAAGUGGCAAAAGAAGUGUGUGUUCAUUAGUACUGAUUGAACACUGUAUUCAAACUCUGUGUGUGUGUGUGUGUGUGUGUGUGUGUGUGUGUGUGUGUGUGUGUGUGGGCGUGCGUGCGUGCGUGCACACAUGUGCGCCAGUGGAUUUGUACACAAAAUAAUGGUAUCUGCCUAGUAUCUGGAAGGCAGUUUCAUGGUAAAUCAGUGCAUUUGAUACAAAAUUUAUUUGACUGUUAAUUUAUCUACUUAAUAAGGCAUGUAUCUUUAUUUAUGUAUUGUAAAAAUAUUUAGUGGUGAGUUAUCAUAUAUAUCUGAGACUGCAGUGCAUUCAAAUUUUCUGGUGUUUAAAUAGUGAGAUCUGAAAUUGGUUUCUUUCAGUUACUGCAUUGCUUCUUCCUUAUCUGUGUCCUAACUCAUAAAACACUUUCUUGAUAUGUCUGUAGUUCCAGUUGGCUAACACGUUUCCUUGUCUUAUUUCACCUUCAUUAUAGUUGUAGCAUAAAUUUAAGUGCUGCUUAAGUUGUGGGCAUAGCAAGAUGCAUAGUAACUGUUAGUGUAGGAGACUAAGUUAACUGAUGGGGAAAUAUCUGAUACUGAUGUUCAUAAAGUAGUGACACAUCAUUAUUUUUUAAUAUAGGAAAGAGGUUUGCUAAUUGUAAUUUUUGUGUGUUUCAUCUGUUGUGUGAGGACAUUGCGAUGUGAAGAUGUAUAGUAGCUAUUAACAGUAUGUUAUGUUUUUAAUUAUUAUUUUUAGCUAUGAAGCAGAAUAAAAAAAUCUCAUGGCUCUGUUAACUUGUGUUUUGUGCUGGGCUUACAUUUAUGUUUGCAUUUAAUAUUUUCAACAGCAUUAGAAAUAAUGUGUUACGUAGUAAGAUUUCUCUCUCUCUCUCUCUCUCUCUGUGUGUGUGUGUGUGUGUGUGUGUGUGUGUGUGUGUGUGUGUGUGGUUGUAGACUCGUGUCUCAAACGGUAUAAAAUUUGCAGGCCUCUGUAGAUCACCGCUUGCCUUCAGGUUGUGUGUUGUCAUUAUUACUCUUGCGUUCUUGCUUGUACAUAAGAUAAGGAGAGCCAGUCAUUGUGACUGACUUGUUUUGUUAUUAUUAAUGUUUAGCUGUAAUACAUCCUGCUAUGCCCUAUUUUAAAGCUCUUAAUGCAAUACACUGCGGAACAUUUUGUUUGCAAUUGUAUCCACCGAUCUCAUAACACCAAUUAGUCAGAUUUUUAUCAGUUUAUUUCUUAGAGCAUUGUUGCUUAGUUGAUGUAUUUGAACUCUCUUAAUGAAUGUUUCCUAUUAUUUUAGUUAUUAGGGUACGAGAGGAUUGAUUUUGUGUUCCUCUGGUCAAUAUUUUAAAGUGUGAGCAUUGUGAGGCUUGAGUGUGAGAGCUUUGUAUUACUUUCAGAUUUAUUGAAAAUGACUUCUUAAACUAGGCGAUAAAAUGUUUCCCUAGUGAACUGACUUGUGUGCAUUUAAUGUAUUACCUACAUUUUAUGGUAGCAGCUGACCACCAAAUUUGAAAAAAAAUUAACAUUUGUAACUGAUGUACUGCAUUACAAUAUGUCUAUAAGGAUUACUUCAGAAUAGCAGACUUUUGAUGAGGAAAAUCACUAUAUACACACAUAAAUUGUAAUUUGAAAAGGUAAAGAAGAAUUUUAAAAAUAGGAAAUGUAUGUAUUUGUGUGUUGUAUUAAGAUACAAAGCUUUGUGAACAUUUUUUAAUUAUUUUACAUCCUGUCUUCCACAAAUUACUGAAUUAGCUUGUAUAGAAAAAGUUGCUUACAUAAUGAGUCAUUUCCUUUUCUUUGCUCAUGCAGAAAAAUAUAGUUUUAAGAAACAUGUUACAGUGAAAGCAUUGUAAUUGCAUUAAGUAAAAAAAUGUUCACUAUUGCUACAUUGGUACAGAAAAUGUAUGUGUGUAGCUCUGAGUUGUUUUAGAGCUCAUAUUAAUAUUCUCAGUAAAAUCUUACAGUACAUCAAAUGUUGAGAUUUAUGUUAAUCCCACAAACUGAGGCCUUACCAAAUACUGUCAGUAUAGUAUAUACAGUAGGUAACGAAUGAACUUGUGUGAUUUCCUGUGUGUAUAUGUCACGAUUACUCAAUGUCUGGAGUGAAAAAGAAAGACUUUUCAUCUGGGUGUUUAUUAUUAUCGCCAAAGUGUGAGUAAGAAAAUAUUCAGCUUAUCUUCUUUAUGUGUUUUAGAAGGUGUAUGGAACUUUGCCCUUUUUUCCCCCUUUAUGGAUGUAGGUAUGUGCAAAUGUUGUAUUUACUUUAAUUUUCCACCAGUCACUGCCAUUUGUAUCUGGUCUAUGGGUCAUAUUUCCAAUUGCUGGAACAGAGUUGUUCCUGUAUGGAGGGAAUGAAUCAUUCCUUAUAUACAAUAUAAUUAGCAUAUAAGCGAAACCUUAAUGGAGGUUUCCCAGCAAUUUCUGUUGCUGUGUGGCUUGGGAUCAAUCUUUAAUAGCUCACAGCAUUUCUCUGCUUCUCAUUUAACAACUGUGCAUCAUAUGCACAUUGCAUUAUAUCAUUACAGUUAAAGUACACUGGAGAAGUUUUACUUAUUAUGAGUGCAGUGUUAAUGACAAUUAUUGUACAGUGCACUAUUUCAUUAAUGAGGAGGAUUUUAUAAGUAAAGUUGAGUAGAUAAACUGCAAAAGAAUGUAGAUUCACUGUUCCAUAAUUGUAGCUUGAAAUAACACCCCGAAAAGUUUCAAAAGGAGCCUUAUAUAAAACACUUGCUUUCCUGUAUGUCCAUUUUUACUUCAGUAUGUGUCGGUUUGACAUAGUGACAAAUAUCGUGAAAUAAAAUGUACAUAAUACUAUAGAUUUAAAAAAAAAUAAAAAUUUUAAAUCAUUAUAGUAGGGAUGAAAAUCAGGAAAGAAUAAGUAAGGUAGAUGAGUUUAUUUUAACUAACAAUUCUCAGUGUUUAAGUAGCCAUAUUAUAAGACAGUUAUGUCAGGGAAGUUGCUCAUGUCAUUACUGAAAUGUUGACGAUUGUAGUUUUUGUGGUGUAAUACUUUUGCUCAUCUCUGUAAUUGUCACAUUUCACCAAUUGUAUAUCAGGAGUGGUUAUGUAGUGGACAGCACCAGUCUCUUCCUUAAUGUAAAUAUUGUAAAAUACAUUGUCAUUAUAUGUUAUGUGUGUAGGGUGAAGGUUUUUGCAACUUUGCUCUAUAAGAAUCAUCUCACUUAAGUAAUGUUGUACUCUAUUUAUUCUGUGUUCAUGGGAUGGUUCUUACAGACAUAUUUUUUUAAUACUUUAGAUUGACUCUAAUAUAUGGCUACCAUUGCUGUAGUAAAAGAAGUUGCCGAAUUUUGGUAGUGACUUGAAUUUGAAAGGCCAGUUAUUUCAUUAGCUUUGCCUGCAAACUGAUAAAUGUAAUUUAUUGACAGCUGACAAAGUACUAGGAGAACACAGCCCUCCAGUCGUAUGCAACAAGUGACAAUCUGGAAGCUUUGCUGAAUCCUGUAAAAAUAUCUGUAUGUUUAUAAUUAACAAACCUGUGCCAGGAUGCACAUAUGGAAAAUUUUUGUAACAUGAAAAUUCCGUUUAAUGGAAAUACAUAUUUGAUAAACCUAUUUACAGUGUUGUGAUAUUCAUUGGAGAAACAUUUAUUGGUCACUAAUUUAAUUAUGACAGAGAAUGACUAGAUGUGUAAUACCUUAAGCAUUAUUUACGGGAUGGAACUUGAAUAUCUCUUGGAACCUUCUCCUACCAUAUGAACCUGUAAUCAUAGUCUGUUAAAAUAAGAUGUGUUAGAUUUGUGCUGCAUCAAGUAUAUUUUGUGAGGACUACAAAGUGAUAGGAAGUAGAUUAUGCGGGUUAUCAUGCCACUAUCUACAGUGAGAGUUCUCAAUUAUGCUCAAGAGUUUAGUAGACAGAAGGUUUGAAAGUAAACUUGAAAGGUAAUUGUGAAUAUCUGUCAAAUAACUUUCCUCGUAGGAUAAUAUGUCCUCACUGUAGGCAUUGGGGGUCUGUGGGCACGUAAUAAAAUAUAUGCUGUGUGAAUGGGAAAUAUUGUGGAAACUGAAGACAUAUUUAUGUAAACUGAAAAUAAAAUAAUUAUUGUUUUCAGGAGUUCAAGAAAUUGUUCUGAAACGAUAUAAAUAACUUAGAAAAGGGAUAAAGAUGAUACUUUGACGCGUACUUAGUGUGUGGAAUGCAGUUUACAGUAACCUGUAUUUACUUAUUAUUGAAAGGAGAUUUGACUAGGAAUUACGUUAAAAAUUUAUUUAAGAAAAAUUUGCGCAAUAUUUUCAUAAUUUCCCUGUAUUAUACUGUAAGGGAUUUAGAUUCUUUAAAGUAGAUAUAAUCUUAAUGUGAAUAGUUAUGGUUCACAGUGAACAAAAACAGGAGAAGUGAUUCAGCAUAUUAGACUUACUGACACAUACAUACAUAAAUAAAGACACCAUCUUCAGUCAUUCCUGUUUAUUUACAAUGUUAGAACUAAGAUAAAUAGAGUAUUAUUUGUUUGAGAGGUGCAGUAAAGUGAAUGUAGUAUUGUAUCAAAGCUCCCAGUUCAUCACUUGUAAGGAGGGAACACAAUUUUGAGACACUAGUUUGACUGAAGAGCAACAUAGUUUUCUAUAAUGGCUAGUAUUAACUGUUUUGCUGACAAUAUUUGUGUAAAAUUAAAGAAAAUCAUAUAUGCAGGUUUACUUGCACUCUGUAUGCAUUUCAAGCUGCAGCAUGUACAAUUGUAGUUGUACGAAUUGUUUGUUUUUGCACUCAUGGUGUAAAUCGGCAGAGACACUGACAGUCAUUAACUUUGUUAUUCCAGAAUUAAUUUUAAACUACAUGCUCAUCCGCACACACGCACAGGCACACUCUCUCUCUCUCUCUCUCUCUCUCUCUCUCUCUCUCUCUCUCUCUCUGACACACACACACACACACACACACACACACACACACAAA
rnacentral:misc_RNA from 1 species